GACGUAGGGCGCGAGCGUUUGUCCGGAUUUAUUGGGCGUAAGAGCUCGUAGGCGGCUUGUCGCGUCGAAUGUGAAAACUCGGGGCUCAACUCCGAGCUUGCAUUCGAUACGGGCAGGCUAGAGUUCGGUAGGGGAGACUGGAAUUCCUGGUGUAGCGGUGAAAUGCGCAGAUAUCAGGAGGAACACCGGUGGCGAAGGCGGGUCUCUGGGCCGAUACUGACGCUGAGGAGCGAAAGCGUGGGGAGCGAACAGG
rnacentral:rRNA from 1 species